rnacentral:rRNA from 1 species
GAUGAACGCUGACAGAAUGCUUAACACAUGCAAGUCAACUUGAACUUCGGUUUGGGUGGCGGACGGGUGAGUAACGCGUAAAGAACUUGCCUCACAGAUAGGGACAACAUUUGGAAACGAAUGCUAAUACCUGAUAUUAUGAUUUUAGGGCAUCCUAGGAUUAUGAAAGCUAUAUGCGCUGUGAGAGAGCUUUGCGUCCCAUUAGCUAGUUGGAGAGGUAACGGCUCACCAAGGCGAUGAUGGGUAGCCGGCCUGAGAGGGUGAUCGGCCACAAGGGGACUGAGACACGGCCCUUACUCCUACGGGAGGCAGCAGUGGGGAAUAUUGGACAAUGGACCAAGAGUCUGAACCAGCAAUUCUGUGUGCACGAUGAAGUUUUUCGGAAUGUAAAGUGCUUUCAGUUGGGAAGAAAAAAAUGACGGUACCAACAGAAGAAGUGACGGCUAAAUACGUG